rnacentral:lncRNA from 1 species
AACAGGGCCCUAACAAGAGCAACAAAAAGGCCCUUAUUUAGCCUAUUCGAGUAUUUUCACUAGACAAAGAGAUCGUGAAAAGUAAAAUUAACGAGCGACAAGAAGAAAACACUGGCUGACCGGCGGCAAACAGGAGGAAACUCGUCGUUGCACACUACCAAAAUAGUGGAGUUCUUCUAGUGUUUUAGUUAGUAAUAAAACACUAUCACUAGUCAAAACACUAGGGAAUCCUCACUAGGAGGCAUUUACUAGGGAAAGUUUAUACUAAAUUUUGAAUGUUAAAACACUAGGAGAACCAUACAUCGCUAGGAGCAAUUGUAUAAUCUGGUUGUGGCAAGAGGCUGUUUUUGGCCAGGUUUUCUUUUGACAUAUGCAUUAUGGCCUUACUUUGUGGUACUAGAGUAAUAGCUUACUUUCUCUCUUCGUCCUAGAACGCACCACUAUGGAGAAUCUAGUGAUUUGAGACUUCACUGGCUUUUGCUACAUUGCGCUACAAUACUAGCACUAUAGCUAAGUAGAACUCGGCAUAAGCCUCGUUGAAAAGGCCCUAAGUAUUUUGGCAUGAUUUACCCCGGCCUACAAUUAAAGGAUGACUGGUGUGUCGAUACCAAAAUUUAUCCUCUUCGUAUUGAGUCAACAAAAAUUAUCUAAAUCGAAGAAAAAAAAAGAAGGAAGAACAAGGCCAAAAGAUCGAAUGCUCCAAGAGGAGGAGGUUGAAGUGGACAAUAGUUUGUUCAAAAGCUGCUAGUCCCUUGUAAGAGUUCCGCUUUGAACUAAAAAAAAAACUCAUACGAAGUUCUUAUCCAAAUGGGUAUCGAAAUAAACAUAUCCUUAGUCAAUAGCCACUAAGGUAAGAUUCUUAACUUCGAAAUUUACAACCUUUGACUAAUAAACACAAACUAGGGCCUUGUUUAGUUCCGAAAAGAUUUCGGAUUUCGGUACUGUAGCACUUUCGUUUGUUUGUGACAAAUAUUAUCUAAUUAUGGACUAACUAGGAUCAAAAGAUUCGUCUCGCGAUUUCCAGCUAAACUAUGUAAUUAGUUUUUGCUUUCGUCUAUAUUUAAUGCUUCAUGGAUGUGCCGCAAGAUUCGAUGUGACGGAGAAUCUUGAAAACUUUUUGCUUUUUGAGGUGAACUAAACAAGGCCUAGCUUGGAGAAUCAAACCUAGUUGUCACUAAAAAAAGAGUGAAAACAUUGAGCUAAACACAAAAAUAGAAAUGAAAGAAUGAAAUAGGUAGACAAAACACAUCCAGGAUCCCUGAUUUUGUGUAACUAACAAUACCCUAAUCUACGCUGG